AUUGAACGCUGGCGGCAGGCCUAACACAUGCAAGUCGAACGGUAGCACAGAGGAGCUUGCUCCUUGGGUGACGAGUGGCGGACGGGUGAGUAAUGUCUGGGGAUCUGCCCGAUGGAGGGGGAUAACUACUGGAAACGGUAGCUAAUACCGCAUAACGUCGCAAGACCAAAGUGGGGGACCUUCGGGCCUCACACCAUCGGAUGAACCCAGAUGGGAUUAGCUAGUAGGUGGGGUAAUGGCUCACCGAGGCGACGAUCCCUAGCUGGCCUGAGAGGAUGACCAGCCACACUGGAACUGAGACACGGUCCAGACUCCUACGGGAGGCAGCAGUGGGGAAUAUUGCACAAUGGGCGCAAGCCUGAUGCAGCCAUGCCGCGUGUAUGAAGAAGGCCUUCGGGUUGUAAAGUACUUUCAGCGGGGAGGAAGGGAUGAUGGUUAAUAGCCAUUGUCAUUGACGUUACCCGCAGAAGAAGCACCGGCUAACUCCGUGCCAGCAGCCGCCGUAA
rnacentral:rRNA from 1 species